UUUAGAUAGCGUUGGCUCGCCGCAGAGACAUCGCCGGCUCGCCACCGUGAGUUAUAGAGGUGGCGGGAGCAGCGAAGGGGCCGAGCGCUGCCGUGUGUCGUGCGACAGCCACACCGUAGGUAGCCACUCACGGCAACUACGCGCACGCACGCACCGGCCGCCGUCGCGCCGCGAGCUUCGCCUGUCCGCGCACUGCCGCAACCACACGUGAGUUCUUCCAACACGCACCGCCCAUGGUCGACCUGUGAGCCACACAUGCACCGCCGCGAAGCGCUGCUUGAUCCCCUCCAUGGACUCGUGCUCGCCGUCGCAGUCCGUCGCCCUAGCCGCGGAGAGGGCCAAGAUCCGUGGAGCUGCUCGUGGAGUGAGUAUAUCGUCCCCGUGCAUGUCUGGUGGGGUAUCGUUUGGUUGGGGCGUUGGGCGGCAGGGAUGGCGAAUUCCUCCUCAGGUGUCGGCGUGUCGCAGUUCCGUUCCUUUGCUUCACUCACUGUUUCUGGUCGUCGUGUGUUUCCUUGGUUUGUUAUGCCUGAAUUGAGCUUCUCUGCAGAAUAAUGAGGUUGAUGCUAACAUGUACUACUUCAGUACUUUACUUGUUUCUUAGUAAGAAUAGUGAUUAAAUUCUUGUAAUUCGAGGCAGCCCUAGCUACUUGAAAAAUGUAACUUUUAUUAGUAUUGCUGUCUAGCUUGAUGGAUUGGUGCAUUUGUUGUGCCUGACAGAAAAUUUCUAAUUUUGGUAGUUUGGUCGAUACAUUAUCUUUCCCUUUUGGAUGUUCGUGAAUUCCGACAUGUCCAAUGGGGAAACAAAUGCUCAAUUUAGUUACCUUACCUCAAAUUCAGUUUUACCUGUUCAAUUAUCACAUUGUGUUUUAUCUUCAAUUUCUCACAGUUAUGCGACCCUGGCUGUAGUUUGCUGAAGCUUGUUGCAGGAGGGCAUGGAAAAAACUAACUCUUCCCCCUCCCCCUCCCGAGUCGCCCCCCGCGUGGGCGGCCGGGAGGCCCCCAGAUCCCGUCAGCCGGCCCUCCCCCACUCCUCCUCCUCCCUCGCCGCCGCCCAAGGGCGCGGCCAGGCGAAGCCUGGUCGUUGCCGGCGGCGGCGGGGACUCGGGCCCUCUCGCUUGCAUGGGGCUGGCGCGGGCCGGCGCCCCCGGGCCGGAGCGUGGCG
rnacentral:lncRNA from 1 species